rnacentral:rRNA from 1 species
UACGUAGGGUGCGAGCGUUGUCCGGAAUUAUUGGGCGUAAAGAGCUCGUAGGCGGUCUGUCGCGUCGAAUGUGAAAACCCGGGGGCUCAACUCCGGGCUUGCAUUCGAUACGGGCAGGCUAGAGUUCGGUAGGGGAGUCUGGAAUUCCUGGUGUAGCGGUGGAAUGCGCAGAUAUCAGGAGGAACACCGAUGGCGAAGGCAGGUCUCUGGGCCAUAACUGACGCUGAUGCACGAAAGCUAGGGGAGCAAACAGG